rnacentral:rRNA from 1 species
UACGUAGGUGGCAAGCGUUGUCCGGAAUUACUGGGCGUAAAGCGUGCGCAGGCGGUUAUGUAAGACAGGUGUGAAAUCCCCGGGCUCAACCUGGGAACUGCAUCUGUGACUGCAUAGCUAGAGUACGGUAGAGGGGGAUGGAAUUCCGCGUGUAGCAGUGAAAUGCGUAGAUAUGCGGAGGAACACCGAUGGCGAAGGCAAUCCCCUGGACCUGUACUGACGCUCAUGCACGAAAGCGUGGGGAGCAAACAGG